AGCAGCCGCGGUAAUUCCAGCUCCAAUAGCGUAUAUUAAAGUUGUUGCAGUUAAAAAGCUCGUAGUUGAAUUUCGGGAUUGACGUGACGGUCGUGCCUCAAGGGGUAUGAACUGUCGCCGUUGAUUUCUCACCUUCUGGAGAAGCUCGAUGUCCUUAAUUGGAUGUCUUGUGGAACCAGGACCUUUACCUUGAAAAAAUUAGAGUGUUUAAAGCAGGCAUUUUGCUCGAAUACAUUAGCAUGGAAUAAUAGAAUAGGACGGCAUGGUUCUAUUUUGUUGGUUUCUAGGAUCACCGUAAUGAUUAAUAGGGAUAGUUGGGGGCGUUAGUAUUCAAUUGUCAGAGGUGAAAUUCUUGGAUUUAUUGAAGACUAACUACUGCGAAAGCAUUUGCCAAGGAUGUUUUCAUUAAUCAAGAACGAAAGUUAGGGGAUCGAAGACGAUCAGAUACCGUCGUAGUCUUAACCAUAAACUAUGCCGACUAGGAAUCAGACGAUGUUAAUUUUUUAAUGACUC
rnacentral:rRNA from 1 species